CCUUUUCAUUUUCUUGGCCAUCAGAUCUAAACACUGCUCUGAUUAGUAAUAAAAGCAGAAAAAGUAACACUGAAACUAACUCCAAUGCUUGCAAUGCAUGAACUCAUUUCAAACAAGU
rnacentral:snoRNA from 1 species